ACUCCUACGGGAGGCAGCAGUGGGGAAUAUUGCACAAUGGGCGCAAGCCUGAUGCAGCCAUGCCGCGUGUGUNAAGAAGGCCUUCGGGUUGUAAAGUACUUUCAGCAGUGAGGAAGGUAGUGUAGUUAAUAGCUGCAUUAUUUGACGUUAGCUGCAGAAGAAGCACCGGCUAACUCCGUGCCAGCAGCCGCGGUAAUACGGAGGGUGCGAGCGUUAAUCGGAAUUACUGGGCGUAAAGCGCAUGCAGGUGGUUUGUUAAGUCAGAUGUGAAAGCCCGGGGCUCAACCUCGGAAUAUGAC
rnacentral:rRNA from 1 species